rnacentral:lncRNA from 1 species
AUGAUAUCAGAUUAUACUUGGUUUGAAGGGAUAGCUUUUCCUGCCAUAUCAUAUCAAAGAGAAAUUUUGGAAGAUAUUCGUAAUAGGUUUGUGGUGAAAGAAGAAGACUUGUUGAUAUUGACUUACCCCAAGUCAGAAACAAACUGGUUGAUAGAGAUUGUAUGCUUGAUUCAGACCAAGGGAGAUCCAAAGUGGAUCCAAACUGUGCCCACUUGGGACCGCUCACCUUGGCUAGAGACUGAUAGAGGAUAUCCUGCAUUAAUCAAUAAGGAAGGACCACGACUCAUAACCUCCCAUUUUCCCAUCCAUCUCUUCUCUAAGUCUUUCUUCAGUUCCAAGGCCAAGGCAAUUGUUCUUCUAGAGGAUCCACGUUCCAUUCUUUUCUCC